CUAAUUCCGUAACAGUCACGUCAAUCUCUGAGAACAUUUUUAAACCCAAAUUCUACGCUCUCCAAGCGUUUCCCAUCGACCAUAAACCAGAAUAAAAUGGCGCACAAAGGUUGUCGCUGGACGUCAGGACACUAACAACACACGACAAGAAAGUGAAGAGAGAACUGGUAUCCCGCUUUCAAAAAUUCUUUUGCUAUUCUUCCAUCGAUUCGCGAUUCCACCGCGUCACGCACCGCCAUUAACGAGCAACGAAGCUCAAAAAGCAACGUUCACCGUGUCUCAAUCGCGAUUACACAGCGGAGAGACGCACGGUCGGUUUGUCGCGCGUGUUAUUCGACGUGACACGCGAGCAUACUGGAGAAAAUACUGUCAUCCGCGAGAACUGUGCUACAAUGUACCGUAUACAUCGUGAAAAACGUUCACGGUGCGUGCGCUAUGAUUAAAUGAGAAAAAUAACGUUAGCUCGCGCAGCCGGUUCGCGUGACGGAUGGUUUAACCCUUUCGCGGUCCGAAUCUCGUUUAAUGCUCUGUACCGAUUCGCUUGUGAUUAAUAACGCGCAUGAAUCAAACCAACUCCUUUAAUCUUUUUAUUACAGAAAGUUGGAUAAAACAUUAAUAAUUUAUGUGAUAUUUCAUAGAAUUUGCACGAAAAAGGAUUGAAAGGGCUAUAUGGAGUUUUAGU